GGUCGACACAACUGAAAAAUUUAAAGGGAAUUGUGGUGCAGGAUCCCUUUCUAUUCGUAGUACACUAAUGAUCUGGAUAGGAAUAUAGAAGAUGCUGCCAGAUUUGCUGAGCUUUUCCAGCAAUUUCUGUUCUUGCCUCGUAGCGUCUUCUGAUACUGGAUCACAAGGCACCAUCCACGAGGCAAAUCGUUCAGUGAUUCGAGCAAUAUAAUUCCUAGUUCCAGAUCAGAACUUACUACGUAAGGGAAUGCAUCAUUGCAUGCUGAACUUCCCUCUCCUCUCUGUCCCCACUCCCUGCAUCCUUCCCAAGCACCCUAAAAUCACUCCACAGCCAGGCCUGUGAUGCAGAAGGCAACUGCUGGUGACUCGGAUUUAACUUCAGUGACGGCAAACAUCCAAACAUCCUGCAUACUUUCAUGCGAACAAAAAAAAGCAACAGAAACCAAUAGCUCAGAGCAGCCUCAGGUGACUGAAGUGUCACGCAUUCGCCGCAGAAAUCAACAAUAAAUAUGAACUGGAAGAAGUGUAAGGCGAUUGAGCACACCGAUACAGAAGAACCAAGAAGAAAGCAUGCAACAUGACAUUUAUGUAUGACUGCAGAGCAAAAAGA